CCUACGGGAGGCAGCAGUGGGGAAUAUUGCACAAUGGGGGAAACCCUGAUGCAGCGACGCCGCGUGAGUGAAGAAGGAUUUCGGGAUGUAAAGCUCUAUCAGCAGGGAAGAAAAUGACGGUACCUGAGUAAGAAGCCCCGGCUAACUACGUGCCAGCAGCCGCGGGAAGACGUAGGGGGCAAGCGUUAGCCGGAUUUACUGGGUGUAACGGGAGCGUAGACGGCAGCACAAGUCUGGAGUGAAAUGCCGGGGCUGAACCCCGGAACUGCUUUGGAAACUGUGCAGCUAGAGUGCAGGAGAGGUAAGUGGCAUUCCUAGUGUAGCGGUGAACUGCGUAGAUAUUAGGAGGCACACCAGUGGCGAAGGCGGCUUACUGGACUGUAACUGCCGUUGAGGCUCGACAGCGUGGGGAGCAAACAGGAUUAGAUACCCCUGUAGUC
rnacentral:rRNA from 1 species